UACAGAGGGUGCAAGCGUUAAUCGGAAUUACUGGGCGUAAAGCGUGCGCAGACGGUCUCGUAAGUCGGGUGUGAAAUCCCCGGGCUCAACCUGGGAAUUGCAUUCGAAACUGCGAGGCUAGGGUACGGAAGAGGGAAGCGGAAUUUCUGGUGUAGCGGUGAAAUGCGUAGAUAUCAUGAGGAAUACCAGAGGCGAAGGCGGCUACCUGGACAAUUGCUGACGCUCAGGCACGAAAGCGUGGGGAGCAAACAGG
rnacentral:rRNA from 1 species